UUCUAUUUUGUACUGUACUUUAGGGUACAAAAAAAAACAAGAGGUAAACUUAAAAAGAGAUGGUUAGAAGUAGUAUAGAGAGAUCAGAUUGACAUAUCAAGAUUCAUGUAGCCGACCAAUUAGUUAGAAAAAAGCUUUGAUGAUAAUGAUGAUAAAUAUAAUUUGGGGGCAUGCCAAAACCCUUGGACAUGAAAUUGACUUCCUAAUUAUCCAAAUGAAGUGUAUGUAUAUUUAUUUGAGAAGUAGAGAGAAAAGUUAUAAGAAUUCCAUGGAACAUAGGAUUUCCAAUUGGAGAUAAAUUUAUUUGAGUGAAUAUUUGAUAACUUCUUUUGAAUAAGAUUUUCUCGUGGUAUAUUUUUCAUAUAAAAUUGUAAAAGCAAGAG
rnacentral:lncRNA from 1 species